AAGAGCCGGGAAGCGCUCCCCGGCGCGGCGCGGCGCCCUGCAGCGCCCCCGCGGGAGCGGAGAGGAACGGCAGGGGCCGGGCCGCGGCUCCGGGCCGCCAGGGCCCCCCCGGCCCUGCCCCGGGGCGCCUCCGUGAGCCGGGGGGUCGCAGGCGGCUUCUGGGGGGCUCUGAUCCCCUCUCCGCAAGAGCCGGCGGCCCCGCUGCAGGGGACAAGUCGCCGGUUGACUGGAGGGUGCUGCUGCGCUCAGUCACCGUUUGACCCAAACGCCCCUUUUCUGAAGGGCAAACAGUGCUGUCCAGUUCCCCCCGACCCAUUCCACGCUGCCCGGGAGCUGAAAAAGUAGAAACGCUUUAUUCCUAUGGGUAAAAGCCAGGAUUUGAAAGAUGAGACCUACAAGUUUGAAAAUCUUGAAGGAAAUGUCAUCCCGCAUCACUUAGUGCAGCAAGUAGGUAUGGGAUAUUGCCCAGAGCAUGGAGCGGACAUCUGGACUGUAGAAACCAUGAAAUACAGGAUACAUCCUGCAGCACUGAGGGACUGGAGCUAAACAAAGACAGGAUUUGUGCUGAAGAGAUCCAUGCCCAUCUAGAGGACCAGAAACUGAGAUGCUGCUUUUUUGGCAAACUUGCUUGAGCAGUGUUUUGCACCUACAAGAUGCUGAUUUCACAGAACCAUGGAACGGUUGAGGUUGGACGGGACCCCUGGAGAUCAUCUAGUCCAACCCCUCUGCUCCAGCAGGGUCACCUCGAGCACAUUAAACAUGGCUAAUUACAGGACUGUUCACUGCAGCCUGUAGAUGAAUCAUUCGUUGUCAAAAAGGCCCUGAUUCUAUAAUCCCGAGAUAGUUUUGCUAAAUCCUUGUACUUCCAGCUAAAAUUCCUUUGCAGGAGCACUGUUCUUGUCAUAUUACACCUACAACGUAAAAACACCUGAAGCCUUAAGCAAUAACGCUUAUUUGAGUAGUCUCAAACCGGACAAGUUUUUGAGAGUUGUUGAACAGCUUCGACAACUACUGCCUUAAUGAAAGUACUGCAUGAGUAAGGACUGGAUUGAAGCCUCGUUGUUUGAUCUGUUGCCUCUUGCUUGGUCUAUCUGUGAGAAUAAUCUUUAUGUUUUGCUUUUUUCUUUUUUUCUUAGCACAGAUAUAAUGUAUAUUUAGAUGAGUACUGCAUUAGACAUUCAUGUGGUUAAACACUUUCUCACUGUAUUGAAAACUGUUUUGCUGCAUCUGGAACAAAAUUUAACUGAGCACACAGUUUAGCAUUUACUAAAAAUAAAUAGGAAAGAACAGAAAAUAAGCAGGAUAGAAUAGCAAAGAACUUCUAAUAUAGCUUUGACAGUUCUGCAACAACUUCUUUACAUGGAGGGUCAUCACUGUACAUUUCCUUUUGUGUUAAUGGAAAUUACUUAGCUAAAUCUCCUCUCUCUCACUGAGGAGAGAACAGACCCACAUAAUCUUUCUCUUAAACAGUUGAUGAAAGGUUCUGUAGGAAGCCUGGGAGACACAUGUAUUACUACAUAUGUCUUUUAGUCCAGUGUUAGACAGUGGUCUGCAGCAUAAAAAAAAGUUUCAAAAUUGGCAUUAACUGAUAUUUUGGCUGGCAACAUCAUCAGAGUGCAAUACACAGGGAAAGAAAAUUACACACUUUUGAGUGUAGUUCUUCCAGCCAGGAUGGAACCCUGUUGAUGAGAAAUUUAUACUGAUAUUGGCAAUUCUUAUGCCUUUUAAAGAGGGUACUUAAAUGUUUUCACAAAAAGUAAAUUAAUUCAUCUGAUAUUUAUUCCAUAGGAUGGCUCAGUGGACUAAAGUGAAAUCAAUCUGAUUUAAUAAAUAAAAUAAUAAAGUUUAACUAAGUGGAAUAAAAUAAAUCAAAUAAGACACAUUUUAAAUUAAGAUCCAACUCCUUGUCUUCAUGUUAAGAUCACUUGUUUGAAGACAAAAGUAGGUAGCACUAUUCCAGAUCAGACCCACCAGAAUACAGUAUGUAUUUCUGAGUCAACAGAAAUGAAAUUUGUGCUAAAUUUUCUGUGAUGUUAGUGACAGAUGCAAAUCCAAAUCUGAAAUAUUUCCCAGCAAGCAUGUAAUUCCUUAAAGCAUUGUGCCAAGAGCCUUGGGACCAUUAUUUAACUAAUUUUUAAAUUAAUGUAACAUGAAUUUUCAACCAGUGCUCAAAAUAUGCUGCCUUAUUUUCAAGGGUACAUGUCUGUAUGUGCAAGGUUAAGCAUUUGUGGGAGCAAAUCAGGGAAUUCUGUUCUAAACCCAUUCUGAAGUGGCAGAUGGAGACUAAGGGAAAAACAUUUGACUCAAAUAAGCAGAUUUCCUUUACCGAUUGUUUUAAAUAUACUUUAAGCAUUUUCCUUGAGAGCUAUACAAAAUCAUUUUAUACGCCACAGUAUUGGUGCAGUAGUGAACUGAGAAAGCUAGCCCCAGUUAUAUAAAAACACAAUUAGGUCACUUACAAGUGGAAGUGGAUUUUAAAAUCAGUGAUAUUUAUUUUGUCUCUAUUUAAAUCAGGUGGAGAAGCAGAUCACUUUGUUAAAGGUGUAAGAUAACAUGAAAUAAAAGGUUAUAUAUAAAAUAAUGAGAGGGUAUUUUUUUCCCUGUGGG